GUCUACGGCCAUACCACCCUGAACGCGCCCGAUCUCGUCUGAUCUCGGAAGCUAAGCAGGGUCGGGCCUGGUUAGUACUUGGAUGGGAGAACUCGGAUGUCCACU
rnacentral:rRNA from 1 species